GAUGAACGCUGGCGGCGUGCCUAAUACAUGCAAGUCGAGCGAAUCUUUGGGAGCUUGCUCCCAAAGAUUAGCGGCGGACGGGUGAGUAACACGUGGGCAACCUGCCUGUAAGACUGGGAUAACUUCGGGAAACCGGAGCUAAUACCGGAUAAUAUAUGAGAUCACAUGGUCUUAUAUUAGAAGAUGGCUUUUAGCUAUCACUUACAGAUGGGCCCGCGGCGCAUUAGCUAGUUGGUGAGGUAACGGCUCACCAAGGCAACGAUGCGUAGCCGACUGAGAGGGUGAUCGGCCACACUGGGACUGAGACACGGCCCAGACUCCUACGGGAGCAG
rnacentral:rRNA from 1 species